rnacentral:misc_RNA from 1 species
AAAAAAAAAAAAAAAUAAAUAAAAGAAUAGUAUGGUGAUUUGUCUUGAAAAUUAAGUGGAGUUAGUGGGCUUUUGACAGUAUUCCCUGGUGGAUGUCCUGUGGAGGGAAUAGAUUGGAAUGGGAGAUAGGACGUCUCGGUGAAUCUUAGCAGUGUAUUUGUGUAGUUGUUAGGAUGAUGCAUUUUUUUUCUCCUUUUUUUUUUUUAGUUCAAUUCUGUCUCCUUGUUUUUUCUACGUUUCAAGACAGACUUUGAUUUGUGGUUUUGCAAACCUCACAGUACUAGUAAAUAAUAAAAAUGGAGUGAUUAGAAUAUGUAUUUAUAUAAAAAUCGUGCAUUAUCUUUGUUGUG